GCAGCGAGUUAGCAAAGACCUGUUUCCUUAGUGCAGGUUGCGAGUUGCGCUUCUGGGUUAGAAGAUUAAUGCUCACUGUCGUGCAAUCAUCUCAGUUGUGCUUUCCCGGCUCUCAUUCUUGAGAUGACAAACACCUGGGAGAGUCUUACUCGGAGAUUCUCAAGAGGCUUUACUGUGGUCAGAACCCCAGCCAGGUCAUCCAGAGAUCAGAAUUCCUCAAAGACAACUCUGGACAAAGUCAUCACUCAGCAUGGCAAACCCUGGGAGACUCCCGGCUCAUGGCUGCAGACUGCACACAUUCACCUGCUCGGUCCCCUUGCUCCCCGGUUUCCCCUUCAUGAGGAACAGAUAUAAUUUUUAAGCAACUGAAACUCUCACAGUGCAAUAACAACAACAAAAAAGAGGGUCAUUAUCUUGAAGAACUGCUAAAAUACAGAAAAGAGACUGGGGGAGAAAUUAGCACAAAGCUGCUUAAGAUGCUGGAGGAAGUUCCGACAGGGCCAUUUCAUUCAAGAACAGACGGAACAAGUAGAGCAGGUGGAGAGCACACCUUCCCUCCCUGUGGCUUCCCCCAAAAGAGUACCUGCUGGCGUAUCUAUCAGUGGAAAAUCUCCCAGGACGAGCCUCUAGUGGAGCUGCUAGGACCAUAGAGAGAAGCAGUGCAGAUACUGAGGCACCUCCAGAUCAUUGUCAGAUAGUGUGGAUGAAAGGCCGGGAGAGGCAGCUAUUGCCUAGGAUGAAAUAGUCCUGCAGAGUGAAGCCCUCCUAACUGCAGCAGCUGUGGGGACCCCCGGCUGCCAGCCAGCUCCUCAUAUACUCACUACAGAGAAGACUGCUAGUCAUUUCACCUGCCUGCUUACAAAAGCACUCAUCCGUCCACCCAUCCAUCCAAAAAAGACUAUUUAUUGAUCUUCCACUAUGUUCCAGCCCUAAAGAAAACAAAAAUUCCUCUCCUAGGGAGCUGAUAUUUGAGCAGGAGGGCAGAAUCAAUAGGUAAUGAAUAAAAUGUAUAGCCUGUCACGUGGUGAAUGAGGUCUAUACAACUUGAGAGGAAAUGAUGCCGGUUUACACAAAUCAAACUCGUUCUCCAUUCAGAAACAUGAACGGGCCACUCGUGAUUGCUGGACAGGUUAGGAAAACCAAGAUCGUGAAUGAGAGAAGUAUUAUGAGAUACUAAUGUUAAGAAGUGUUAAGAAGUCAGCAUUCAUCCAAUAGGAGUUUCACAAAGACAACAACAAAAAAGACAAAAGAAUCGAGGAAACUAUAAAGUAACAGGAAAAAAGUUCCCAGAGUUGAAGAAAGCUACAAGUCUUUAUCUGAAAGAACCCACUGAGGCUCAGAAGAAUGAAUUAAAAGAGGCUAGAACUGGGCACACACAAGUGAAAUUUCAGAACUCUAAGGGAAGAGAGUCCUAAAAGUCUCUAGCAAGGAAAAGUAAGUUACAUGGAAAGAAGAAUCAGAUAAACAUUAGUGACUUGAUUUCAAGGCCCUUGGGAACAGAAUACAGUCAGAACUCGGUACUCAUCAGCUUCAGACCUCAUCAAACCCAGUACUCAUUGCAUUUUGACGAGAAAGAAAUGUUUCAGCACUCAGUGCUCGAUUGGGACUCAUCGCACUUGCUGACACUUGUGUAAGUCACGAUGCUGCCCCGCAAAAGGAAAUGCUUCAGCACUCCUUGCUUGCUUGCUACUCAUAGAUUUCAGCACUCAUCACGAGUUCCAGAACAAAUUAAUGAUGAGUACUGAGGUACCACUAUAUAUAAAUAUAAAUAUGAAUAGAUUUAUAUUUACAUUUGAAGUGGUCUGAUAAUUGUAAAUGCUAGUGAUAAGUUUUAAAUCCUGGAGUCAAUCUAUAUAUAUAACAUGAAAUACAAUGACAAAAUGUAUAAUGCUUCAAUGUGUGAAAAUAAUAGAAUAACUACAAUUUGGUGACAGAAGAGGAAAGAGGGAUGGAAGGUAAAGUGAGUUCAGAAAUGCUCUCAUCUUUUCUAAUGGAGUAUCAAAAAUUAUCUAAGAUGAUAAAUAAAAAUAAAGAUAUAUAUAUUAGGGUUUUUCUACCCUGAGUGCUUAUUAGAAUGACCUGGGAGCCUAACAAACAUGUUGAUGCGUGGGCCCCACCCCACAUGAAUUAAAUCAGAAUCUGGUGGCCUGAAUAGCUGCAUUUUUGAAAAGCUCUCCAGGUGACUAAUAUGGUAUCAGUCAGGAUUGACAGACACUUUAAUUAAAGUCAUAACGACAACAAUUAGAAGAAUGAAAACAAGCUGACAGUGAUUGCUCUGGGGAAUAGAACAAGGAAUUUCUAAACUAUUUGAAUUGUUUUUAUGGAGAAAAAAAUGAAGAAGAAAGAGAAGGAAUCCAACUUGAGUUUCUCAGGCUCUGCACUACUGACAUUUGAAGCAGGGAAUUCUUUGUUGUGGGGUGUGGAAGGGUUAGCAGUCUCGGAGCCCUACUAAAUGUCAGUAGUACCCACCCAGUAAUGACAGCCAAAAAUACCUCCAGACACUGCCAAAUGUCCCCUGGAGGGCAACACUGCCUGAGUUGAGAACCACUGGAAGAGAAGAACAAUCCUGUGUUUUAGUCAAGCAACUGCUUGAACUACAAAGAAGGUUCAAAGAUCUGGACUGUCCUUAUAGCAUAUACCAUGUAAGUUAAUGUGCAUUUGUUCAGCACUAGGUCUUUAAUUAGAAUUAAAUGUACACAUUUUAAUUAGAGCACCAGAAAGGAAUGCACCAGACCUUAUGGCCUCUUCAAGCUUUGGGAUUUACUUUCAGUAUUAGAAUAACAAAAAUGUCAGAGCAAUUAUGCCUUUAUAAAAAAAAAGCUGCAGGGCUUCCUGGCAAGCAGCCAGAUCUUGCCAAUUUCUUUUAAACUUGAGAAAACACUUUUCUCAUACUGAACAAAACAGGGGAGACCCAGCCAAACAUAACCCUGGGCUGUAGGCCCAAGUUCAUUUCAGUUCAGCAAAUAUUUGAGCAUCUAUUACAUAUGCUGGGGAUGAUAACAAUAGUAAAACAAAAACUAGAUUUCUUAAAUGUUAUAGAAAUAAAGUACAUUUUAAAAAGACAAGUUUUUGAGGCAAGAUAGUAAGAAGCUAGGAACAUUCCUUGGCAAGUAGAAUAGGGCAACUGAAACAGAAAGCUGAAAAAAAUGGCCAAGCAAUUUACAGCCAGAUACAGGUCACCUCCCUAGGGAUAGCAUCUAGGCCUCAGUUGUAUUUCAGCUCCAGGCCCAGAAAAGCAGCAAAACCAAGUGGACAAUGCCAGGACCAGCCCCAAUGACUAACGACCCCCUGCCCUGGCACUGACCAAUCAGUGGAGACCAUGACCCUGAAAGAGCACACCUGGAGAACUGAUGCGUAUUCUGGUGAAAACCUCUCCUGAGACCUCCCCUAGGAUUCCCGCCUGCAAGAGAUAAAAGCCUCAGGGCAAAGGACCCAGAGUAUAGUCUCCCUCUGGGGAGCAGCCCAUGCCAUUCCCUUUCCCUUCUUCUCUCACAGGCAUGGCAUCUCCUAAACCCUAAGGGACCCUAAGACUUGCAACCAGGGGAGCAAUGGGCAGCUGGCAGCUCGUUCCAGGCUAAUCCCCUGAACCUGCCCUCGAGGCCCUCUUUUCUCUGACUUCCCAGUGAGCUAAGGCCGCCCAGCCUAGGCUCUCCCGUUGCUUUGUCUACCCUACACCCUUUCUUAUUUCACUGUCCCCAGCUUUAACAACUGUACCCUCAUAGUCACCUGGACGCCUGUUGAGAAAUCUUUCCUGCAUUUGAAGUCAAGAACCCACACACUACUGGCUGGCUCUAGGCAGGCCCACUCAGGGCCAGGUCCCUUGUGCCAUAAGUUUUCCUUUUUGCACUUCACAGUACGGUGUGAGAAUGCAGUUUUCUGCAUGGUCUAACUAAACCUGUGCCAUCCAAAUGGUAGCCACCAGACAUAGGUGGCUAUGGAGCCCUGGAAAAAUGGUUGGUCUGAAUUAAGAUGUGCUAUAUACGUAAACCAU